UAUGGGCUUUGUGAUAUUGUUAUUUGCUGGGCUUCCUUUUUCAGAAAACGACACCUCUGUUUUCCUCUUCUCUUCGCGUCGCCAAAAAAUGUUUUUUUUUCGAUUCAUCCAACCGGCGUCGAAUCUCCAUCUAUAAUACGUGAAGCCAUAGUUUCCGGCGAUAGCCUGUUAGAACCCGGUGGUGGUGUCUUUCGAUUGACUUCCAACUCACCGACAAAUAAAUUCUUGGAAACGUUACGAGAAUCAAUUCAUCCAAUCGCCGCCUUUAACGCCCUCAUCAACAACAUCUCCCACUCUUCACACGAUCUGUCAUUCAAUGUUGCUAUUGUGUGAAUCACCACUAUAAAUAGACUUGAGGGAUGGCCAUUGGACCACCACCGUGGAGGUCCGCCUAUUUUGGGAGGCGAGGUACGUGAAGCGAGGAUUGAGCUUAUGUGUAUAGACAUGCUCAUCCUAAUGUAAAGGUACAAAACUCAUGAUCUUCAAGCCAUUUCUUGAAAAUUUUUAGAUUCUUGAUUUGAAUGAUGAUAAAGGUUUCCAUUUAAUAUAAAAGAGUAUGUUUUGUCCUGUGAGAUUCAUCAGUUGUUUCUCCUCAUUAAUUAUCUUUUAAAGAAAUCUGUCUUGGAAAAUUGCUAAUUCUUAUGUCCACCGACGAGGUCUGCCUCCUAAGGUUCAGGAAUGUGAAUGCUCCUCCAUGACGCAGAGGCAGUGGAGACUGCAACAGCGUGUUAGAACGACCAGACAGCAAGUCGGAUAGAUUUUACUGUACAGUGAUCGUUAAGUUUAUAUUCUUUGGAACUUGCAAGUAAAGGAAUGAUGGUUUGACCAAUCGAAGUUCGGGUGAGUCUAGAGCUAACUCAUCCACGAGUACCGGGAGUGGUGAGGUCCCAGUGAACCAAACGCCAACACUCAAUGAAACCACAACAGCUGCUCAAUCAUUUCUUGGCAUGGUAACCACAUGUUGCAUCAAUGGAGAGUGCACUGGAAAAAUCACACAAUGUUCCAUUGUUCUUUUCCUAAAAACAUGUCUGUUUUUAGUUUCAUUUUUUUAAUAACAAAGAAAUAACAUAAUUUUAAUAUAAUUUAAUUUCAGGUACGCAACUUAUUUAAUCAAUAAAAGCAAAUUUCAAUUUUA